AGCAGAGGACUAAGGAUGAAGUAUGAGACGCGCAGCGGAGAGGAGAACGGACGAGGUGGCGGAGACCAGAAUUGCCGCGGCGGUAGAGAGGGGAAUUGACGACGCCGCAAACAGAGAGACUGGUGACGGCGCGGGUGAGAAGGUAGAGUGAUGAGGGAUGGCGGCACGGUGAGAGAGAGAGGGUUGAAUAGGCUGGUGAGAAGGGAGAGUGGCUGCAGAGGGUGAAAAAAAGGAGAGUGGCGAUGGGGAAUAUGCA